rnacentral:rRNA from 1 species
AACCUUCAGCAACGGAUCUCUUGGCUCUCGCAUCGAUGAAGAACGCAGCGAAAUGCGAUAAGUAAUGUGAAUUGCAGAAUUCAGUGAAUCAUCGAAUCUUUGAACGCACCUUGCGCUCCUUGGUAUUCCGAGGAGCAUGCCUGUUUGAGUGUCAUUAA